rnacentral:rRNA from 1 species
UGCUAAUACCGGAUAAUAACAGAUGAUGCCUAUCAACUGUUUAAAAGAUGGUUCUGCUAUCACUCUUGGAUGGNACCUGCGGUGCAUUAGCUAGUUGGUAGGGUAACGGCCUACCAAGGCGAUGAUGCAUAGCCGAGUUGAGAGACUGAUCGGCCACAUUGGGACUGAGACACGGCCCAAACUCCUACGGGAGGCAGCAGGG